UGGCUCAGUGGUAGAGUGCUUGCCUUGCAUGCAUGAGUCCCUGGGUUCAAUUCCUCAG
rnacentral:tRNA from 1 species